rnacentral:snoRNA from 1 species
AUGCCAGCCAAUUAAUCUACUUGUCUGAAUGUGUUUCUGCAGAAAUGUAGAAAAAGCUGGCAAUAGUGAUGCCAUUUUAUGAGCCCUAAGGAUAGCUGAGGUCAUUAAGGUCCCUAAAAAUGGCUACAAUA